UGGAUAUAGCUCAGUGGGUAGAGCAAUCGACUCAUAAUCGAUGGGACGGAGGUUCGAAUCCUCCUAUUCAACCA
rnacentral:tRNA from 1 species